GGGUGCAUGGUCUAGUGGUAUGAUUUUCGCUUCGCAUCCACCAAAUGCGCCUUGUGAAAGGUCCCCGGUUCGAUCCCGGGUGCAUCCA